UACGAAGGGGGCUAGCGUUGCUCGGAAUGACUGGGCGUAAAGGGCGCGUAGGCGGAUGGCACAGUCAGAUGUGAAAUUCCCGGGCUUAACCUGGGGGGCUGCAUUUGAUACGUGUUGUCUUGAGUUCGGAAGAGGGUCGUGGAAUUCCCAGUGUAGAGGUGAAAUUCGUAGAUAUUGGGAAGAACACCGGUGGCGAAGGCGGCGACCUGGUCCGACACUGACGCUGAGGCGCGAAGGCGUGGGGAGCAAACAGG
rnacentral:rRNA from 1 species